GAUGAACGCUAGCGGCAGGCUUAAUACGUGCAAGUCGUGGGGCAGCAGGGGUGUAGCAAUACAUCUGCUGGCGACCGGCAAACGGGUGCGUAACACGUACGCAACCUUCCCGUUACUGUGGCAUAGCCCAGGGAAACUUGGAUUAAUACCACAUAUUAUAUAGAGAGGGCAUCCUUUUUAUAUCAAAGCUUCGGCGGUAACGGAUGGGCGUGCGGUUGAUUAGGUAGUGGGCGGGGUAACGGCCCACCAAGCCUACGAUCAAUAGCUGAUGUGAGAGCAUGAUCAGCCACACGGGCACUGAGACACGGGCCCGACUCCUACGGGAGGCAGCAGUAAGGAAUAUUGGGCAAUGGACGAAAGUCUGACCCAGCCAUGCCGCGUGAAGGAUUAAGGUCCUCUGGAUUGUAAACUUCUUUUCUCUGGGGCGAAAACCAGCUAUUCUUAGCUAUUUGACAGUACCAGAGGAAUAAGCACCGGCUAACUCCGUGCCAGCCGCCGCCGUAAAAC
rnacentral:rRNA from 1 species